GAUCCUGGCUCAGACGAACGCUGGCGGCGUGCCUAAUACAUGCAAGUCGAGCGAGCUGAAUUCAAAGAUUCCUUCGGGRUGAUUUGUUGGACGCUAGCGGCGGAUGGGUGAGUAACACGUGGGCAAUCUGCCCUAAAGACUGGGAUACGGCAUGGAAACAGGUGCUAAUACCGGAUAACAACAUGAAUCGCAUGAUUCAAGUUUGAAAGGCGGCGCAAGCUGUCACUUUAGGAUGAGCCCGCGGCGCAUUAGCUAGUUGGUGGGGUAAAGGCCUACCAAGGCAAUGAUGCGUAGC
rnacentral:rRNA from 1 species